GUAGGCGCUCCCGGACGCCCCGUCCUCCGCGCCGGGCAGCGGCGGCGGGAGGAUGAUCCUGCCGGGCACCGCAGGGACAGGGUAGCCCAGAAGGGGAGGACUGGUGAUCGGGGCCGGGGAAGAGGGUAGUCGGCAAGCACCGGGCUGCUGCCGCGAGGAGCAGAGGGACCCGUACGGCGCUGUUUUGCGGCCCUCGCCCAUGGGGAGCUCCAGCCGCGGUGCGGCAGCGGCUGCGCCGGGAACGUGCGGCCGGCAGCCCCGGGAGGGAGCGGGAGCGCAGGAGGGGAUGCCGCCCUCGCGGUGUGCCGGUGCUAGCAGAGCCGGGGGUAGACGAAGCUGUCACCACCUGCCUGAGUGUGCUAAAGAAAUGAGAAUUUGGAGGAAGAGCCAUUUCAAGCUUAACCCAAGCCAAUGAAGUUAUGUGUGAAGCAAUGUGUCCAUCUCUGUGCACCUUCAGAAGAAGCUUGAAGGAGCCUUCCAGUCCUCUUACUCUGUUGCUGACCAGCUGGGGAUGAAGAGCAGGCUGAAAGAGUGUGUGAAGCAGAACUGAUGGCUCAACAGGAAACUUUCAGAAAUUGCUUCAGAAGUUAAAGGAUGUAUGUGAUAUAUUUUUUUUUACUAUUCACAAGAUGAGCUUACCUUUAGGCAUCAGUCUGAAAAAAAUUGAGCUUCCACCUCAGCCACAGCUGGGAAUAUAUAGACAUUUCUGAAAUCUGCCUGGCCCACUAAAGAACUGGCCAUACGUUUCAGACUUGAAUUGACAUCUAAUAGAUCCUUAGAAGUCAGAGAAAAGAAAUCUGGUAAAAGCAUGCAGCACCUGGAGAUGAAGUGGACCUGGCACACGCAUAUUCAUUAGGCUACCUGCUAGCAAAGAGGAGCAUUCAAAAAAUUCAAAGCAGCAUUGAAAUGACUCCCAGCUGAGAAUGGUGCUUAGAAGGACUGAUGCUGUUCUGCUCCUUUGCUUGGUUUCAGGGAGAAGUGGUCAAGCAGUGUCACUGCCUUACAAAGGACAGUGCAAUGUCCUGAUAUAUCUUAGAAGUUGAUCCUUUACUGAUGGGAAGAGAUGAGAGACCAUGGAUAUAUUAAACAUUUCUGUCCCUUAUAAAAAUAUGCUUGAGAAGUGCAAAAAGCUACUGCAAGGUAUGCAAGAUGUGUCAGAUGCCAUGAGACAAAUAUAAUUCCACAGGUGAUGGAUAUUAACUGUUUAAAAUUGUCCACAAUCUAUGAAGUGUCAAGUACUCAUACUAGUAUGAAUGAAAAGAGAUAUGCCUGUAUUCUAUAUUUUAUUUGUCAAAACAGAAAUUGCAUUACAUUUUUUUCUUUAUAUUUUAAUACCAAUUAUCAGUGUGUGCUGCUGAUGUGUUUUUAGAAUGGGAGCUGCCUGGUCAAGCUGUGUUCCAAAUUAUGGAAGUGGGCAAAUAUUUCUGCAUACCACAGUCAGGUAUCUGCAUAGCUCUGGACUGUAAUGUCAUUGUGAGGAGCAGAAUCUCUGCUAUAUUUCACCAGCACUUCACUCACCCACUGUCAGCUCUGGAAAAGUUUCUUUGCAACAGUCUGUCUCCAAUAUAUUUAGCAUCCAAACUGCAAGAAAACGUCCUUUUGUAAGAACUUUUUUUGGAAAAUCUACAUUAAUAGCUCUUAGGCAACUAACCUGCAUUUGCUGUGCCCUGGUAUUUGC